rnacentral:rRNA from 1 species
GACGAACGCUGGCGGCGUGCUUAACACAUGCAAGUCGAACGGAAAGGCCCUGCUUUUGUGGGGUGCUCGAGUGGCGAACGGGUGAGUAACACGUGAGUAACCUGCCCUUGACUUUGGGAUAACUUCAGGAAACUGGGGCUAAUACCGGAUAGGAGCUCCUGCUGCAUGGUGGGGGUUGGAAAGUUUCGGCGGUUGGGGAUGGACUCGCGGCUUACCAGCUUGUUGGUGGGGUAGUGGCUUACCAAGGCUUUGACGGGUAGCCGGCCUGGGAGGGUGACCGGCCACAUUGGGACUGAGAUACGGCCCAGACUCCUACGGGAGGCAGCAGUGGGGAAUAUUGCACAAUGGGCGGAAGCCUGAUGCAGCAACGCCGCGUGCGGGAUGACGGCCUUCGGGUUGUAAACCGCUUUCGCCUGUGACGAAGCGUGAGUGACGGUAAUGGGUAAAGAAGCACCGGCUAACUACGUG